AUCAGGAGUCGAAAGAUGUGGAGUAAGGGGGAAUUUCAGAGAAACCACAAAACACAAAAUAGGAAACAGAGACAGGAGAAGAUUGCUAUGACAAAAUUGCAGAAGGUGAAAUCUUUGGCAGCCUCUUAUUUCUCUGGAGAAUAUGAUAUUGUCAGGCUGAGGUGGAAGAAUCACAUGGUCAUACUGUUGAAGAGGUCUUGAAACAUUGGGCUUUCCUCUACAAGCGGAAGGAUAGCACUGGCAGCCAUCCACUGGCCCAGCAAUAUCCUGGAUUGAGACGAUAUCAUUUGCAUUACUUGCUGAAUGAAACAUAGUGAAAAUGACUGCAGAUAACCUCAACUAAGUCCAAGAUAUCAUUUUCAAAUCUGGACCAGCCCUUGCCAUCUAGACUGAACAGAGAUUCCAGUUUCCAGGAGAGUAGAUGGAGUAAUGAUAAAAGCACCUCCCAAAACUUUUGCCUUGUGAUUGGCAAAAAAGAGAGACAUCAAUAUGGACUGAAGUCACAGAAUGAGUUUCCUGGGAGAGAUGCUUCUUGAUAUGACCCUAGAAGCUCCAUCAAAACUUAUAAAAUCUUGGGAAGAGGAACUGUGGCCCAUCACUGAUCAUUUCAUCUAUUAAGUGACCACUUAUUGUCUUAUAAUAGGAGAUGUUCUGGAAACAUGCAUUGAAUCGAAGUGGCUUUGAGGAAGCAUGAAGAGAAAACAGGAUGGCAUCCUUUUGGCACCAUUUCUUAUGCUAUAAUAAGGAUUCCUUCUGUUUACACAUAAAACAGAAGAGUUUAAUCACCCCAGCAAUCUUUAACUUGGUAAUGAAGGCCAUAAAUUAAAUUUUAAGCAAAGUUAAAGAAGAUGAGAUGAAAUAUAAAACAAAAACAUCAUCAGAAUCUGCCCAGGAACAAU
rnacentral:lncRNA from 10 species